AUGCGUUUUGUGCGGCGCAUCCAGGAGUCUGAGGUGAAGGAGGCUUUAAAAAGGAUGAAAGGAGGCAAGGCGAUGGGCCCUGAUUGUAUCCCCAUUGAGGUGUGGAAAGGUCUCGGGGACAUAGCGAUAGUAUGGCUAACCAAGCUUUUCAACCUCAUUUUUCGGGCAAACAAGAUGCCAGAAGAAUGGAGACGGAGUAUAUUAGUACCAAUAUUCAAGAACAAGGGGGAUGUUCAGAGUUGUACUAAUUACCGUGGAAUUAAGCUGAUGAGCCAUACAAUGAAGCUAUGGGAGAGAGUCAUUGAGCACCGCUUAAGAAGAAUGACAAGCGUGACCAAAAAUCAGUUUGGUUUCAUGCCUGGGAGGUCGACCAUGGAAGCCAUUUUCUUGGUACGACAACUUAUGGAGAGAUAUAGGGAGCAUAAGAAGGACUUGCAUAUGGUGUUCAUUGACUAG
rnacentral:rRNA from 1 species